rnacentral:lncRNA from 1 species
AACAUGUUGGUAUGAGUUGAACUCAUUUUAACUUUGAUUGGAAUGGUUAUGAUAUAAAUAUAGGUAAUAAUUAAUUUUAAAAUGUAAUAUUGAGUCGCGGUAUUGUCAUCCCUACUACGAGACAAUACUUAAACUAUUAUAACUAAUACUUUAUGUGUUGUUUACUUUUAAAAGAAUAAUGACUUUUUUUGCUAAUGAUAAACACCUUUCAAUCACAUCUAGAAUAUUUUUCCCUCCCCCAAUUUCGUUCUUAAAAACCUUACCUUCGAAUUUCUACUACUUCUUUGUUUCCAAAUCUCUCCCUCCCUUUAGUUCACAACCCCUUCCUCUACAACAACCACCAUUGUGAUUUGGUCUACCCCAAUCUCCAUUGUUUUCAAAGUCUAUCAUUCCCCAAUAUCCAUUGAUUUCUCGUCCCCAAUCGCGAAUUUGUCUUUCCCUUUCUCCAUUGCUCAUAAGUCAUGGAAUGUUAGUUUCUUGCAGCCCUUUUG